rnacentral:misc_RNA from 1 species
AAAUAAAUCGGUUCAUUAGAACUCGAGAUAUCAUGCACGCCAACUCGAAAAAAGUAGUUUCGAGAAAAACGCGUUUAAACAGAUGCUGCGUCACAAAAAUGGCUGUAACUUAUAAAAUAAUUGAAAUUUUAAAAAAUCCUUUUAAGGGCAUAUUCUUGAAUGUCUAAACUUUGGAAAUAUGAAACAAAAUUUUUCGAUUUUUUUCAAAUUUGUAGACUAGAAUACCCCCUUAA